UCUUGGAUGGCUCAGUUGGUAGAGCAUGCAACUUUGGAUCUCAGGGUCGUGAGUUCAAGCCUCACUUUGGGCA